ensembl:lncRNA
UUGGGGAACAUCCCACGAGGCAAGAGGUCAGUGACGUCAUGAAGCGCGUAGCUCUGAUCUCACAGAUGGAUCUGUAGAUCUGUGUCAUUAGCUCACAUGAGAACAUGGAUCUAGAGCAGGGGAGGGGAACUCUGAUUGCAGCCCUGCAGAAUUCAGCUCAAACCCUAAUUAAAACUCACCUGCCUGUAGCUUUCUAGUAACCCUUCAGACCUUGAUUAGCAGUGUGUUUGAUUAGGGUUGAAGCAAAACUCUGCAGGGCUGCGGCUCUCCAGGACCGAUGUUCACCACCACUGCUCUAGAGGCUUGCUCAGAUGUUUAGUUCAGGCACCGAGAGUCACAAAUCUGCAGACGGCUGCAGAAAAGUGAUUAAUAUACAUACUAAUAUACAUUAAUAUACAUCUAAAAAAAAGGAAACAUGCAAAAAGGGUUCUGUGAGGGGUAGAGAAUAAAAAUACUAAAAAUACUCUACUGGGAUGUGCUAUGAAUAAAGACCAGUCAGGGUCAGUGUGCGGUUUAUAAAAACAAGUCUAUGAAAGGUCCUCAUUUAUCUAAUGUCUGUGUGUUUUGUAUCCCUGUCUCAUGGAUGUUUUUCACUGCUUGUGUUCUUCCAGCAGGAUUAAAUCAUUCCUCCUGCCAGCGAUUCCCAAACCGUGCAUCCCAGGGCUUGAAUCUGCUCUGCUGAAGAAGGGGAAGAUUGAUGAGAUCGAUCAGCAUUUCUCCAGUUUUCACAGCUAUAAGUCCCCCCAGUACUGCACGGAGACGUGGUACCAGGUGAGUGUGGACACGAGUCCGGCUGUGACGCCCAGCAGCAUCCAGUCUGACGGUAUACAAGAGGAUGUGCUGAUCACGCCAAUCAUACCGAUUGUGCCGAUCGGGCCAAUCACGCAGUACGUCACCUGCCCCAAUGGACAACAGUCUGUUCAGACCAGCUGCACUCCUAUGCCUUAUGUCCACGGCCCGGCCCCCUACUGUGAGAAAGACACACCCCCUCCAGUCCCUGGCCCCGCCCACCCGGAGCUCAUGUCUGUCCCAGGCAUGGACUAUAACAUGAUUUUAAACCACGCCCCCUACUGUGUGGAAGACACGCCCCCUCCAGACCCUGGCCCUAUCCACCCGGAGCUCAUGUCUGUCCCAGGCAUGGACUACAGCAUGAUUAUAAGCCCCGCCCCCUACUGUAAGGAAGAUACACCCCCUCCCAACCCUGGCCCCGCCCACCUGGAGCUCGUGUCUGUCCCAGGCAUGGACUACAGCAUGAUUCUAAACCCCGCUCCCUACUGUGAGGAAGACACGCCCCCUCCAGACCCUGGCCCCGUCCACCCGGAGCUCGUGUCUGUCCCGGGCAUGGACUACAGCAUGAUUCUAAGCCCCACCCCCACGCUGCCGCCCACUCAGGACUUCUACAUGCGUGUGAACGGCGUGACGCCCGCUGGUGCUCUGCAUCUGGUGCCCUGCCUGAAGCUCGAUGAAGGAGAGGAUGACGAAGCGGACAAGAGCCACCAGCUGGCAGUGGUGCUGGAGAAGCAGAUGGAGGCGCUGUUGAGCACGAUCGAGUCAGACCCGAGCGAUGCUGGCAUGCCUUCACUACCUCAUUCAUCAGACAGGAGCUGCAGAAGCAUCUGA